AACGAACGCUGGCGGCAUGCCUAACACAUGCAAGUCGAACGAGACCUUCGGGUCUAGUGGCGCACGGGUGCGUAACGCGUGGGAACCUGCCCUUAGGUUCGGAAUAACUCCCCGAAAGGGGUGCUAAUACCGGAUAAUGUCUUCGGACCAAAGAUUUAUCGCCUUUGGAUGGGCCCGCGUUGGAUUAGCUAGUUGGUAGGGUAAAAGCCUACCAAGGCGACGAUCCAUAGCUGGUCUGAGAGGAUGAUCAGCCACACUGGGACUGAGACACGGCCCAGACUCGUACGGGACGCAGCAGUGGGGAAUAUUGGACGAUGGGCGAAAGCCUGAUCCAGCAAUGCCGCGUGAGUGAUGAAGGCCUUAGGGUUGUAAAGCUCUUUUACCCGGGAUGAUAAUGACAGUACCGGGAGAAUAAGCUCCGGCUAACUCCGUG
rnacentral:rRNA from 1 species